GAUGAAGAACGUAGCGAAAUGCGAUAAGUAGUGUGAAUUGCAGAAUUCAGUGAAUCAUCGAAUCUUUGAACGCACAUUGCGCCCGCUAGUAUUCUGGCGGGCAUGCCUGUUCGAGCGUCAUUUCAACCAUCAAGCCCCAGGCUUGCGUUGGGGGCCUGCGGCUGCCGCAGCCCCUGAAAAGCAGUGGCGGGCUCGCUGUCAUUCCGAGCGUAGUAGUUACAUCUCGCUCCGGGCGUGGCGGUGGGCACCUGCCGUGAAACACUCUUUCUAAGGUUGACCUCGGAUCAGGUAGGAAUACCCGCUGAACUUAAGCAUAUCAAUAAGCGGAGGA
rnacentral:misc_RNA from 1 species